rnacentral:rRNA from 1 species
GAUUAUGGCUCAGGAUGAACGCUGGCGGCGUGCCUAACACAUGCAAGUCGAACGAAGCACUGCGGAUGGAGAUUCGUCAAAAUCUGCUUUGACUUAGUGGCGGACGGGCGAGUAAUGUGUGAGCAACCUGCCUUUCAGAGGGGGACAACAGUUGGAAACGACUGCUAAUACCGCAUAAUGUAUUGGAAGGGCAUCCUUUUGAUACCAAAGGAGCAAUCCGCUGAAAGAUGGGCUCACAUCUGAUUAGCUAGUUGGUGGGGUAACGGCCUACCAAGGCUGCGAUCAGUAGCCGGACUGAGAGGUUGAACGGCCACAUUGGGACUGAGAUACGGCCCAGACUCCUACGGGAGGCAGCAGUGGGGAAUAUUGGGCAAUGGGCGAAAGCCUGAACCCCAGCAACGCCGCGUGAAGGAAGAAGGUCUUCGGAUUGUAAACUUCUUUUAUGAGGGACGAAGGACGUGACGGUACCUCAUGAAUAAGCCACGGCUAACUACGUGCCAGCAGCUGC